rnacentral:lncRNA from 1 species
AUAACAUUAUAAAUAGCAACAGGAGCUGUAUUUGAACAGAUUCAGGCCAAACCCAAGUAUCUUUGAAGAAGCUCCCGAAGCCAUGUGGAAAACAGAAUUUCUUCAGACCACCCCAUGAUUUCUCCAACAUGUCUCCAGCAUGAACGCUCUCAUCACAACUUUUUGUGGCAUCUACAAGAUUUGUGCCAGCGCUCACUGAGGAGCUUUUUUAUCUGGAUCAUAAGGAAAUGGAAGUGGAAGAUAAAACCAGAAGGAUGUUCCUGGGUUUCUUUUCAUCAUACUACGCAUUUGUCAGGCUGUUUCUUUAUCGG